UCUUGCUUGGUACUAUGCGGCAAAUCAGCUGGCACCUGCCCCCUGCUUUCAGAGAGAGCAGAUACGAGAAACAAGCCUGCGGAGCCCAGAAGGGACCUGUCUACUUGACAGAUGCUUCUAAGAGACUGCCAAAACUGGAUGGAGUUCAUUAUGUCUGGGAAGGCAUGGCAACUGUUAGCAAAAGCACAGUGACAGGAACUGCAAGCUGGCUGGUCACAUUUUCAUCCACACGGAGGAAGUAGAGCGAGGCCCAGAACUCUCAAAGCUCUUAGCUUCCCGCAAACCAGGCAAAGUGUCCACAGAUGAGUGUCCCAGGUUGGUACGUAAAUGGCACUUACAAAGAGAAAGCUGAGAAGAGCAGUUUCAUACUGGGAAAUUCCUUCUUUCAGUGAAUUGAUAGGUAAAUCCAGAUGCAAUUCUUUAAUCUGGGAAUAUUACCUUUUACACUCUUACAUUUCCUCUCACAGGGAAUACCAGCAACUAACAAGCCACCUGUCUGUGCUUUCUUCUCAAUUGUUUUCAUUUAUAUAGCCCCCAGGUUUCUGUAGAAAUAAUAUCAUAGAGCAUUCCUAUUUGCUAUUUCAUUGUAAUUCUUUAUCACCCUUGAAACUGAGUCAAUAAUCAAUACAAUCACUAUGAUUCCCACUCAAUAGACACAAAGACUUGAAGUCUCUAAAAAGCUGUUCAAGCAAGAACAAGGAUCAGAUGAGCAUCUCUAGUCUGCCCUGUUAUUUUCGUUUUCACUGAGUGCCUUGCUUGAAGAAGAGCUAUUUGUGCAUUCGAUGAAAAAGCUGUAAAGCAUUUUAUUGUAAUACAAUCACAAAGAAGGAAAAGAAAAAAAAUAAACACAUUCCACUCACCCAGUUUCACUUUCUAAAUAGCUUUUGGUACAGAUAUAGCAUCUUCAAAUGUGGUCAUGCCACACCAUCAGCUCUGUGUCCAAUAAAUGAAUGCUUUCAUUAACUGUACAAAUGUGUUACAAAGAGAGUUUAGUCCUUUCCUUACACACUCUCAGCUUCUAUAAUCUAUUCAUCGUUUCCGGUUUUGUAGGUUAGGCUUUGGCUGUUGGAGGCUGGAAUCCAUUUCUGACUCACUUUUAUUUUUAAUAUCAUCAGUAGUUGGCAUUGAACACUGCAUAGAGUCUGUGUUCCAUACAUAUUUGCUGAACUAAGGGAGUAAAUGAUUACUUUCACAGGGUGGAGGGACACAGUAUUAAUGACACUGUUGACAUUAGAUGCUCUGCUUGGCUGCCCUCAUUUCUCUUUUCGUUUGAGGACCAUGGUGGCUAUGCCUGAGUCUUUUUGUUUCUAGUAGCAUAACUGGUAAUUGAAAACCUAUUUAGACCUUGGCCUCACACAUAUGUCUCUCAUAGUGGCAUCCUUAUUUCAUGAGUGUUGGGAUAAAAGGGACAAGAAAGGGGGAAUAGAAAAGAGAAUUCCUUCAGAAUUGUUCUAUUCUAUUUGAAGGCCAGAAAUUGCUCUAAUGUUUUACCUGCAUCAAGUUAUUUAUUCCAGUCAAUGUCUUCAACAAGCAAAUAAAAGCAGUAAUUUGUUCACCUCAAAAUUCUGGUAAGCGACAGAGGCAGGAUUCAAACCCACUGGCAGCAUAGUAUCACUCCAGCUCUUGAUGAAGUUUCACGAAGUGGCAGGAAAGAUCAGGAAGAAGGAUGAAAAGGAGGAAACAGCAGUCAACAACAGAGAAUCAGUGACAACCGGACACUACUGUGGUAACCACACUAGAGAAGCAUGAAGUCUCAGAUCCCAGGAAGAACUCUCCCUUAUGUGGUUAACUUCAUUUGAUCUCUCUGGCCUCACUCCUCUAAUCUGCUAGGUAUCCACGGCAGUGAUAAUUCAUACUUGAAGCUGUUCUUGGGAGUAGUCACCAACCAGAGACACUAUUGAAGAACAGCCUGACGCUGAGCAUGAUGUUCAACUGGCUUGAACUGCUGAGGCAACGACUAUGGAGUAUUGGAAAACUUUUGAAUUUGGAUUGAAGGAAUCUCCAAAUGACAGGCAUCUCAGGACUACAUUGUCUAACUCACUCCAGGAAUCUUGGGUCUAUCCUUGCUUGGAAAGCUGGUCAGGGUGGAAACACAGCAUGUUUGUGUUUCUGUAAGAAAAUGAAGAGGAUCGUAAGAGGAGGGGCCCAAGAAGAAAGGACAUUUGUCAAAACACAGCUACGGAGGGUAUCCAUGUCCCAGGAGGACACACAUGUCACCGUGUGCAGAGAAACUGGAGCACAGAUCUGGUGCUGUAUCUGUGAAGGGAGUUCAUCAGGACUUCAGGGCAAGGUGACCCAGCAUCCUGAUUCUUCUCACCCUGAUGGCACUGAGAAGAGAACGUCUCAAAGAGUAUCCUGUGUUGUUCUUUUGCUCUCAUCCCAGGUAGAGCUCAGAUGGGUGCCUGCUCUGUAAAAACAGAACAAAAAAAAAUAUAAUGUAGUUUUGAAAAUAUGUUCUAUGAUUUCUUUUUCUAGCUCCUUUUCGGGGGUGUCCAGGUUCCUGUGGGGAUGAAAUUAUGAUUAAUUUUAAUAUCCCUUUGUCCAGGAGCAAGAAGGAAGAGAAGCAUUUGCUGCUAAGAAAGGUUCAGGUUGCAACUUCUUCUGCUUAUUUAUUGAGGUUAAAAGUUAAACUGGAUUAGGACAAUCAUAUUUUUCUGACACGUUGACUUGCUUCUUAAGAAAACAUAUUCAGCUCUUUUUCAUGAACCAUUUCGGUGGAAGAGCCAGGAGCUCUCUGGUCAUGAGUUUUGGAGAAACCCUGAGGGCCCCUUUGUAACCGACUUUGUUAGCUGUGCAUAUUUAUUUGGCUCGCUUCCCCCUCUGGGUUACAUUUUGACUGAAACAUUUGUACAUGGAGCAGGAGAACAGGCAUUUGGGCUCACUUUUGUGAAUCCUCCCCACACACAUACAGAUAAAAAUAGCACCAAGUUGACGGGUCUGAUGGCUUUCUCCAAGUUGUGGUCUAGAAGGGUGUCUGCAUUCAUCAAUCAUUUCCUCUCUCCCAAUUUCCACAACUCUCCUUCUCCUGUGUUCCUAAAAUUGGCUCAUUUCACACUCAAGACUAAGAAGAAACAGGGCUGAGAAGAAAAUCAAGAGGUGUCAGCCUUUGGCGCAGCAGCUGGAAUGUUAAGCUCUGGGGUGUUAAGGAAUCACCCCAUGGAUGACCAGCCAUACCCCAGAGCUCUUCCACACAAGUCGGUAGGAUAGAAGACUCUGUUUGAGGUACCAUUCUACUUCUAAUGAAAUUUCCUAUUGUAACUGGCCAACAACAUCUAAUAUGGUGCACACUUAUGACUGCUUUAGAAUACAGAAAUAUAGCUAUGUUUCUGCUCAGGGCAUCAAAUUUCAAUCUUCCUAACUCAAAAUCUGAAGUUGCUUGCCAGGGCAUUUCCCCUUUCAUAAUGGGAAAUGGAUGGGAUAAGACUUUUAUUGGUUUUAUUGUGAUUAUAAAUAGUUUAGACAUUACAGUCUCACAUAAAGGAGAAAGUAAAAGUACCAUAUAAUCCGUUCACUGGGGUUUUAUGUACAUCCUUUGAGAAACAGUCUACUAGCUAUGAACUCUUUUUUUUGUAACUAACAUGUUCUAUUAAAAUAUGCAGUUUUAAA